GUAGCAACUAAUGAUGUGCAGGGGGUGGAUCAACUACAUACUGCCAUUGAUUUUUGUCUUCUUUGCGAUCAUCAUGCUCUGGCGCAGGCAUUUUAACAGAGGGAAGCCAUUGGAAGCCUUCAAAAUUAAACCUCCACCAAAUAAAAAUGCAGUUGACAGCUGCUGACACUACAGGAAGCCAUUAGUCAGUUUGAAUCAUUAAUCCAAGCUGGGAAUAUCAUUCUUUUGAAGAUAAGAGCCAUUUUAUUUGCAGUACUACCACAGGCCACUGAAAGGGUUGCUUUUCUAUUGGUCUUCAUGGCUGCUAGCAUUGCAUUUGUUCCCUUCAGAUACUUAGUUCUGUCAAUAUUCUUGGAGGCUUUCACAAGGGAAUUUCCAUACAGAAAAGAAAGCAGUGACAGGGUGCUGAGACGCAUAAGAGAAUGGUGGGUUGGAAUACCAGCAGCUCCUGUUCAGCUCAUUAGAUCUGAUGAGAAGAAAAAGAAAUGAUUAAUGCUGCAAAGCACAUUCAUCUUUAAAUUGGUGUCACAAUGGAAAGCAAAAAUUGUCUCUAUAUCUUAUCCUUGACACUAGGCCUCCAGGUACAUUUAUCCUUGCAAUGGCUGCCACCAGAUCAUUUACCACAUCACUGUAUCUCCAAAAUCCUGCUGCUAAGGUGUGUCUUGGCAUUGAGUAAAAUUCCAAAUCGUAGUUUACUCCACUAAGCAUGGAGUAUGGCUAAAAUCAAACAAGGGCUGUUGGUUCGUACUCGAGCAUUUUCUUAAAACUACAUAGUAUGCAAACGAUCCUUUAGGUUAACUUGGACCCUUGCCCUUGUUUGACCAAAUAACUAAGCAAUAGAUUGAUGUGAUACUACUUUUAUUUUUGCCA